GGAAGGAAAGAAGCAAGGAAGUAGUAUUGCAGCAUCCCUCGGCUCGUCGAAAGACGCGCGCCGCCAUACGCGUACGGGGGUUGAGGUUCGAACUCGGGCAUGCGCAGUACGGUUGGGACUUCAUCGCCGUUCCCCACUACUUAUCCAAACUGUUGAGAGCACAUUUAGUUCUGGAUGUGGGGCGGGAAAGUGGAGAGAAGGGUUUGGUAUACCCCACCAUCACCGAAAAAUCUUUCUUUCCUGUUGGUGUUCGUUCGACCAACGUCGUCUUCCAUUCGCCCAUUUCCGUGAAGACUCGGUUAAUAUCGGUAUCUCCCCACCAUUGAACGAUAAGCGCGAGGUCGCGUAAAAUUUCCCUUUCCACUGGAGCGGGUUGGUCCUGGACUGGCGCUCGGUAUCCUGGCUUCCCGCCAUGGUCGCUCGUCGGGAUGCCGAGGAGUGCCGAGCCAGGCCGAGUAGUUCACGAGCUUUGAAACGCGGGUCGGCAGCUGUCGGCUCGUUCAGCAACUAUCCGGGGCCACGGACAAAGAAUAUACUCUCUUGCCGAGCAAUACAGUCACCGCGCGCGCGGCGAGAGCACACACUCAGCACGGGGCAGCACGCCGUGAAAACCAAAGCAACAAGAGCCACUGUGACACCACCAGCACCACCACCAUUGCUAACAGCGGUAGUAGAGGCAGAGGCAGAGGCAGCGGCCAGAGGCAGAGGCAGAGGCAGAGGUAGAGGCAGAGGAAGAGGCAGCACCACCACCACUACCACUACCAUCGCCGCCACCGCCACCACCACCGCCGGCGACGCCUCCUGGCAAAGCCGGUGGCACGGUAGUGUCCUCGAGAGCACGCCGUGCACGCAUCGGUGCUGCGAAUGUUCCACGGGUCUCUCUCUCGCGACGGCGUGAGUCGACGAGAACGCGCGUCGUGUCGUCGUCGUCGUCGCCGAGUGACGGAAACUACGGCGCCAACCCCCACCGAAAUACUCCUUUCUACGAAUACUACUACUACUACUACUACUACUACCAAUAUUACUACUACUACUACUACUACUACGAAUACUACGAAUACUACUAUAGGGCUCGGUUUAGUCGCUUCGUGGAUGCUACGCGCAGUGUAUGGGAAACAGAUCGUACAAAUCAAUCGCCUUCUAACAAGCCGCAUUAACCUCAAGUGAUUUAUAUUUUCUUACGAAGCGCGAAAGAAGUAAUUAGUGUGUUUAUAUCGUAUAAAAGAAAAAAAAAGAAGAAGAAGAAAAUAAAAAACAAAAAAAAAA